rnacentral:rRNA from 1 species
UACGUAGGGACCAAGCGUUGUUCGGAUUUACUGGGCGUAAAGGGCGCGUAGGCGGCAAUUCAAGUCAUCUGUGAAAUCUCCGGGCUUAACUCGGAACGGUCAGAUGAUACUGCUUUGCUCGAGUGCGGAAGGGGCAAUCGGAAUUCCCAGUGUAGCGGUGAAAUGCGUAGAUAUUGGGAAGAACACCUGAGGCGAAGGCGGGUUGCUGGGCCGACACUGACGCUGAGGCGCGAAAGCCAGGGGAGCAAACGGG